rnacentral:rRNA from 1 species
CCGAGNNNNNNCCGACAGCUCGGAGGAUCGAGCGUAUCGGAUUAUUGGGCUUAAGGGUGCGUAGGCGGCCUCUUUUAGGAGCGGUGAAAGUCUGUGGCUCAACCAUAGAAUUGCCGUUGAAACUGGGGGGCUUGAGUAUGUUUGAGGCAGGCGGAAUGCGUGGUGUAGCGGUGAAAUGCUUAGAUAUCACGCAGAACCCCGAUUGCGAAGGCAGCCUGCCAAGCCAUGACUGACGCUGAUGCACGAAAGCGUGGGGAUCAAACAGGAUUAGAUACCCUGGUAGUCCACGCAGUAAACGAUGAUCACUAGCUGUUUGCGAUACAUUGUAAGCGGCACAGCGAAAGCGUUAAGUGAUCCACCUGGGGAGUACACCGGCGACGGUGAAACUCAAAGGAAUUGACGGGGGCCCGCACAAGCGGAGGAACAUGUGGUUUAAUUCGAUGAUACGCGAGGAACCUUACCCGGGUUUGAACGCAUUUCGACAGCUCUGGAAACAGAGCCUCUAGCAAUAGCGAUUUGCGAGGUGCUGCAUGGUUGUCGUCAGCUCGUGCCGUGAGGUGUCGGCUUAAGUGCCAUAACGAGCGCAACCCUUGCCACUAGUUACUAACAGGUAAAGCUGAGGACUCUGGUGGGACUGCCAGCGUAAGCUGCGAGGAAGGCGGGGAUGACGUCAAAUCAGCACGGCCCUUACAUCCGGGGCGACACACGUGUUACAAUGGCGUGGACAAAGGGAAGCCACCUGGCGACAGGGAGCGAAUCCCCAAACCACGUCUCAGUUCGGAUCGGAGUCUGCAACCCGACUCCGUGAAGCUGGAUUCGCUAGUAAUCGCGCAUCAGCCAUGGCGCGGUGAAUACGUUCCCGGGCCUUGUACACACCGCCCGUCAAGCCAUGGGAGCCGGGGGUACCUGAAGUCCGUAACCGAAAGGAUCGGCCUAGGGUAAAACUGGUGACUGGGGCUAAGUGGUAACAAGGUAGCCGUAAGGGCGAAUUCGUCCUUUAUGGGGGACUAGUCCCUUUACCAGGCUAAUCUGA